rnacentral:rRNA from 1 species
AACACAUGCAAGUCGAACGAACCCUUCGGGGUUAGUGGCGCACGGGUGCGUAACGCGUGGGAAUCUGCCCUUUGCUUCGGAAUAACAGUUAGAAAUGACUGCUAAUACCGGAUGAUGACUUCGGUCCAAAGAUUUAUCGGCAAAGGAUGAGCCCGCGUAGGAUUAGGUAGUUGGUGGGGUAAAGGCCUACCAAGCCGACGAUCCUUAGCUGGUCUGAGAGGAUGAUCAGCCACACUGGGACUGAGACACGGCCCAGACUCCUACGGAG